AGUGGCUAGUCUAACCGCAAGGAGGACGGUCACCACGGUAGGAUUCAUGACUGGGGUGAAGUCGUAACAAGGUAGCCGUAUCGGAAGGUGCGGCUGGAUCACCUCCUUU
rnacentral:rRNA from 2 species